CUUAGGGGGCCUGAAAGGGUGUUCCCCCAACCUGGUACUGAGACCCGGACCAGAUUCCUACGGGAGGCAGCAGUGAGGAAUAUUGGACAAUGGGUGAGAGCCUGAUCCAGCCAUCCCGCGUGAAGGAUGACGGCCCUAUGGGUUGUAAACUUCUUUUGUACAGGGAUAAACCUACCCUCGUGAGGGUAGCUGAAGGUACUGUACGAAUAAGCACCGGCUAACUCCGUGCCAGCAGCCGCGGUAAUACGGAGGGUGCAAGCGUUAUCCGGAUUUAUUGGGUUUAAAGGGUCCGUAGGCGGAUCUGUAAGUCAGUGGUGAAAUCUCACAGCUCAACUGUGAAACUGCCAUUGAUACUGCAGGUCUUGAGUAUAUUUGAAGUAGCUGGAAUAAGUAGUGUAGCGGUGAAAUGCAUAGAUAUUACUUAGAACACCAAUUGCGAAGGCAGGUUACUAAACUAUAACUGACGCUGAUGGACGAAAGCGUGGGGAGCGAACAGGAUUAGAUACCCUGGUAGUCCACGCCGUAAACGAUGCUAACUCGUUUUUGGGCUUUCGGGCUCAGAGACUAAGCGAAAGUGAUAAGUUAGCCACCUGGGGAGUACGUUCGCAAGAAUGAAACUCAAAGGAAUUGACGGGGGCCCGCACAAGCGGUGGAUUAUGUGGUUUAAUUCGAUGAUACGCGAGGAACCUUACCAAGGCUUAAAUGGGAAAUGACAGGCUUAGAAAUAGGCUUUUCUUCGGACAUUUUUCAAGGUGCUGCAUGGUUGUCGUCAGCUCGUGCCGUGAGGUGUUAGGUUAAGUCCUGCAACGAGCGCAACCCCUGUCACUAGUUGGCCAUCAUUCAGUUGGGGACUCUAGUGAGACUGCCUACGCAAGUAGAGAGGAAGAGUGGGGAUGACCGUCAAAUCAUCACAGGCCCUUACGCCUUGGGCCCACACACGUAAUACAAUGGCCGGUGACAGAGGGCAGCUACCACAGCGAUGUGAUGCAAAUCUCGAAAGCCGGUCUCAGUUCGGAUUGGAGUCUGCAACUCGACUCUAUGAAGCUGGAAUCGCUAGUAAUCGCGCAUCAGCCAUGGCGCGGUGAAUACGUUCCCGGGCCUUGUACA
rnacentral:rRNA from 1 species